UGUGUCUUUUUCCAAGGUCACUUCCUACAGUAGAGGGCAUGUGAGCAGAAAACUCCCUAUUUUGGUUAACAGCAACAUGUUUGUGAAACCACACCUCAGGCAUGUACAGCGGCCGUGUUUACCAACGCUGUUUUGGGGCCCCGAAAGAGGAGUGGGGGGCCCCUUCGGCGUUAGUGUUUGUGUUCCAUCUUGCUGGUUCAUGACAAGUCAUGACAUGUAGCAUUACUUUAUGAGCAACAAUGUGAAAAUACGCCAGUGAUACUUGUUCUUCAGUAUGGCUAGAAAAGUCGAUUGGCAGGGGGAUUUUUGAUUAAACUGCAGACAUGUUUGGGAACCUUUAUUGAUAGUUUUAUUGUUUUAUUAUUUUUAUGCAGUGAAAGUCACAGCUGAAGCAAUGAUGCACAUAAUCCGUGCUUAGUGGACACAUACAUUAAUCGGGUCUCUUUCGUUACAAAACUGCUUCCCCCUGCCCGGGGCAACUACCAUCCACAUUAGUUCCUACCUGUCACAGUAGUUUCACAGGUAGCGAUAGCUCAAGACGGAUUCACAGACAAGCUGCCGUUUUCUUUCUCUCCGUUAACUUUCUUUGGUUCCUAAAGAACAUAUGUCUACGCUGCUUGUUCCUGCACAGAACGUCGAAGAUGUGCGCCAGCGAGGCCAGCGAGGAGGGCAGCUGGUACUGCAGCAUGUUCCUGUGGGUCUCCUUCAGCACGCUGCCCGGAAGCUCCUUCUCCACAAACUCCAUCACGGGCUGCAGGUCCGGCUCAGGUCCCGAUACCCGCAGGACGAUGGUGUACCCAUCCCCGAAUCUGUAGGGUGAACCGGGCACACACACAGGUGCUGAACGCUUCCCAGACAGCGGAACCUGCCGUUGACCAUGAUGGCGAUUCUGGUGCAGAGAGCCUCACAUUCUUCCAUGCUACGGACCAAAACAAAGCUGUCAAAGCUACAGCCUUAAGCAAUUUACUCUGGCAUUAAUACAGCUUUCUGAGUCAGAUUCGUUCCAGGAAUCCUUCAGCUGUUAAUGCUACAGCCUUAAGCAAUUUCCUCUGGCAUUAAUACAGUUUUCUGAGUCAGAUUCGUUCCAGGAAUCCUUCAGCUGUUUAAUGCUACAGCCUUGAGCAAUUUCCUCUGGCAUUAAUACAGCUUUCUGAGUCAGAUUCGUUCCAGGAAUCCUUAAUUAAAACAGACUCAUAAGGACACAUGUGGUGCCCUGGACAAGCUUGACGGCCAGUGCCCCGCCCCCCCCCGCCUCAGUAAAUUUCACCACCCAACUGCAGGCAGUCUGCUACGUUGGUGGCCCCUUGGAAGAUGGCGGCCAAGGCGGCUGCCUAUGGCGGCUGUAGGAUUGACCUGCCCUGACGUCCACGGUGGAUACCUGUGUGAGGUGAGGACCACGGAGCGGCCCUGUUUGAGGAUGCUGAGGAUGCAGUUCCAGAGCGCUCGGCGAGCCUUGGGGUCCAUGCCGGUGGUGGGCUCGUCCUGUUACAAGCAGCACGUCAAGUACAGGUCAGGUACAGGUCAUGUACAGGUCAUGUACAGGUCAGGUACUGGUAAUGUACAGGUCAGGUACUGGUAAUGUACAGGUCAGGUACAGGUCAGGUACUGGUAAUGUACAGGUCAUGUACAGGUCAUGUACAGGUCAGGUACUGGUAAUGAACAGGUCAUGUACAGGUCAGGUACGGGUCAGGUACAUGUCAGCAGCAAACAGGCAGAAUACCAGGAACAAUGGUAGCAAUAACAUUUUUGCAUCCUAGCAUUUUAUGCUAAAAGUGUCCUACAAAUUCUGGAGUUGUUUUUAAACAUUAAGCAAAAUUAACUCUAAAUUAACACUAAAAUGAAAAGUAAUGCCUUGCACAUCAGACACAAAAUACUGCCCACAAAUUUUUCCCUAUUUAGAAUGCCAGGAAUUUUUAUCUCUGCAUUGUUGCACAACAUCAGUGAAAUCCUACAGGGAAAGCUAUGCAUUUGGAUCACGUGACUUCAUAGCAAAACAAAGCCAAGGCGCAUUAUGAGGGGACGAAACACUCCAGCCAUAACCAGGGAACUGGGAACUGAACUGACAUAAAGACUCACGCAACUCUCUCACAAAAAGGAACAAUUAAAAUAACUUACCAGAAACACAACACGUGGUCCUCCAAUCAGAGCGAUGGCAGUGGACAGCUUCCUCAAGUUCCCUCCGCUGUAACUUCCAGCCAUCUUGUUUGUGCACUUCUGUAGGCCCAAUUUGCAGACUCCCCACUCAGCGACCUGGAACAGAAAUCUGACCUUCAGAAACCCUUUAACAACUCCACAGCCCAACAUCUGGGAUCACAUCUCAGUGUGUACCUUAACUUUGUUUGCCACAGUAAAAUAAAUAAAUGCUUGCUCA